rnacentral:SRP_RNA from 12 species
GCCGCGAGGUGGGCGUCACAGAGCGGAUCACGCAUGCCUCUGGCACGGCACUCGGCUGUUGAGGGAUCACGGACGCC